UACGGAAGGCAGCAGUGGGGAAUAUUGCACAAUGGGCGAAAGCCUGAUGCAGCUAUGCCGCGUGUAUGAAGAAGGCCUUAGGGUUGUAAAGUACUUUCAUCGGGGAGGAAAAACAAAACUAAUAAUUUUAUUUCUUGACGUUACCCGAAAAAGAAGCACCGGCUAACUCCGUGCCAGCAGCCGCGGUAAUACGGAGGGUGCUAGCGUUAAUCAGAAUUACUGGGCGUAAAGAGCACGUAGGUGGUUUUUUUAAGUCAGAUGUGAAAUCCCUGGGCUUAACCUAGGAACUGCAUUUUGAAACUGAAAUACUAGAGUAUCGUAGAGGGAGGUAGAAUUCUAGGUGUAGCGGUGAAAUGCGUAGAUAUCUGGAGGAAUACCUGUGGCGAAAGCGGCCUCCUAAACGAAUACUGACACUGAGGUGCGAAAGCGUGGGGAGCAAACGAGGGA
rnacentral:rRNA from 1 species